UACGAAGGGGGCGAGCGUUGCUGGGAAUUACUGGGCGUAAAGCGCACGUAGGCGGCUUUCUAAGUCGGGGGUGAAAUCCUGGAGCUCAACUCCAGAACUGCCUUCGAUACUGGAAAGCUCGAGUCCGGGAGAGGUGAGUGGAACUGCGAGUGUAGAGGUGAAAUUCGUAGAUAUUCGCAAGACCACCAGUGGCGAAGGCGGCUCACUGGCCCGGUACUGACGCUGAGGUGCGAAAGCGUGGGGAGCAAACAGG
rnacentral:rRNA from 1 species